GAUGAACGCUGGCGGCGUGCCUAAUACAUGCAAGUCGAGCGAACAGAUAAGGAGCUUGCUCCUUUGACGUUAGCGGCGGACGGGUGAGUAACACGUGGGUAACCUACCUAUAAGACUGGGAUAACUUCGGGAAACCGGAGCUAAUACCGGAUAAUAUUUCGAACCGCAUGGUUCGAUAGUGAAAGAUGGUUUUGCUAUCACUUAUAGAUGGACCCGCGCCGUAUUAGCUAGUUGGUAAGGUAACGGCUUACCAAGGCGACGAUACGUAGCCGACCUGAGAGGGUGAUCGGCCACACUGGAACUGAGACACGGUCCAGACUCCUGCGGGAGGCAGCAGUAGGGAAUCUUCCGCAAUGGGCGAAAGCCUGACGGAGCAACGCCGCGUGAGUGAUGAAGGUCUUCGGAUCGUAAAACUCUGUUAUUAGGGAAGAACAUACGUGUAAGUAACUGUGCACGUCUUGACGGUACCUAAUCAGAAAGCCACGGCUAACUACGUG
rnacentral:rRNA from 1 species